GACGUAGGGGGCGAGCGUUAUUCGGAAUUAUUGGGCGUAAAGCGCUCGUAGGCGGGACCGAAAGUCGGUGAGGAAAGACCUGGGCUCAACUCAGGGAACUGCAUCGAUACUUCGGUUCUUGAGGUAAUCAGAGGGUGAUGGAAUUCCCGGUGUAGCGGUGAAAUGCGUAGAUAUCGGUAGGAACACCAGUGGCGAAGGCGGUUCCCUGGGGCACUCUUGACGCUGAUGCGCGAAAGCUGGGGGAGCGAACGGG
rnacentral:rRNA from 1 species